rnacentral:tRNA from 1 species
GGGGCUAUAGCGCAGUGGUACAGCGCAUGCUUAGCAUGCAAGAGGCCAAGGUUCGAUCCCCAGUACCUCCA